GGGCUUAACUGUCUCCCCCCUCCAGUCAGUGAAAUUGAUCUAUCCGUGCAGAAGCGGGUAUAACAGUACAAGACGAGAAGACCCUUUGGAGCUUAAGGUACAAGACUCAGCCACGUUAAACAACUCCGUAGAAAGCAAGAACUUAGUGGCCAUGAAACUUUACCUUCGGUUGGGGCGACCACGGAGGAAAAACAAGCCUCCGAGUGGACUGGGCCAAAACCCCUAAAGCCAAGAGAGACAUCUUUAAGCCGCAGAACAUCUGACCAAUAAUGAUCCGGCUAAUAAAGCCGAUCAACGAACCAAGUUACCCUAGGGAUAACAGCGCAAUCCUCUCCCAGAGCCCAUAUCGACGAGGGGGUUUACGACCUCGAUGUUGGAUCAGGACAUCCUGAUGGUGCAGCCGCUAUUAAGGGUUCGUUUGUUCAACGAUUAAAGUCCUACGUGAUCUGAGUUCAGACCGGAGCAAUCCAGGUCAGUUUCUAUCUGUAACGCUACUUUUCCUAGUACGAAAGGAUCGGAAAAGAGGGGCCCAUACUUACAGCAUGCCCCACCCCUAAUUCAUGAAAACAAAUAAAUUAAAUAAGGGAGGGCCAGAACCCCUGCCGCC
rnacentral:rRNA from 1 species